rnacentral:rRNA from 1 species
CGGAGGAUGCGAGCGUUAUCCGGAUUUAUUGGGUUUAAAGGGAGCGUAGACGGCCGUUUAAGUCAGCUGUGAAAUGGUGCGGCUCAACCGUAGCACUGCAGUUGAAACUGGUCGGCUUGAGUGCAGUUGAGGCAGGCGGAAUUCGUGGUGUAGCGGUGAAAUGCUUAGAUAUCACGAAGAACCCCGAUUGCGAAGGCAGCCUGCUAAGCUGCAACUGACGUUGAGGCUCGAAAGUGUGGGUAUCAAACAGGAUU